rnacentral:rRNA from 1 species
GGCUUGGCGGCAGCUACCAUGCAGUCGAGCGGUAACAUUUCUAGCUUGCUAGAAGAUGACGAGCGGCGGACGGGUGAGUAAUGCUUGGGAACAUGCCUUGAGGUGGGGGACAACCAUUGGAAACGAUGGCUAAUACCGCAUAAUGUCUACGGACCAAAGGGGGCUUCGGCUCUCGCCUUUAGAUUGGCCCAAGUGGGAUUAGCUAGUUGGUGAGGUAAAGGCUCACCAAGGCGACGAUCCCUAGCUGGUUUGAGAGGAUGAUCAGCCACACUGGAACUGAGACACGGUCCAGACUCCUACGGGAGGCAGCAGUGGGGAAUAUUGCACAAUGGGCGCAAGCCUGAUGCAGCCAUGCCGCGUGUGUGAAGAAGGCCUUCGGGUUGUAAAGCACUUUCAGUCAGGAGGAAAGGUUAGUAGUUAAUACCUGCUAGCUGUGACGUUACUGACAGAAGAAGCACCGGCUAACUCCGUGCCAGCAGCCGCGGUAAUACGGAGGGUGCGAGCGUUAAUCGGAAUUACUGGGCGUAAAGCGUACGCAGGCGGUUUGUUAAGCGAGAUGUGAAAGCCCCGGGCUUAACCUGGGAACUGCAUUUCGAACUGGCAAACUAGAGUGUGAUAGAGGGUGGUAGAAUUUCAGGUGUAGCGGUGAAAUGCGUAGAGAUCUGAAGGAAUACCGAUGGCGAAGGCAGCCACCUGGGUCAACACUGACGCUCAUGUACGAAAGCGUGGGGAGCAAACAGGAUUAGAUACCCUGGUAGUCCACGCCGUAAACGAUGUCUACUAGGAGCUGGGGUCUUCGGACAACUUUUCCAAAGCUAACGCAUUAAGUAGACCGCCUGGGGAGUACGGCCGCAAGGUUAAAACUCAAAUGAAUUGACGGGGGCCCGCACAAGCGGUGGAGCAUGUGGUUUAAUUCGAUGCAACGCGAAGAACCUUACCUACACUUGACAUACAGAGAACUUACCAGAGAUGGUUUGGUGCCUUCGGGAGCUCUGAUACAGGUGCUGCAUGGCUGUCGUCAGCUCGUGUUGUGAGAUGUUGGGGUUAAGUCCCGCAACGAGCGCAACCCCUAUCCUUAGUUGCCAGCGAUUCGGUCGGAACUCUAAAGAAGACUGCCC